CGACGGCGACGACGACGACAACGACGACGACGACGAUAACGACGACGACGACGACACGCACCGGCCGAGCACACUACGGAUAUAGCACGCUCAUGAUUCCCCCAUGAAGCGACCGAUCUGCCCUCUGUCCGUCUAUCUACGCAUCACUAACUUUCUUCGGAUCUUCCUUCCUCCAUAUGAUAUAUAUUUAUUUCACAUUCAAUAUUUCGUUCUCGUAUUUCGUUUAAUCUACUUUAAACACGAUAUUAUUUAUACCUUUCAUUUGUUCAACUUGUUCAACUACUUUUUCUUGCUUU